rnacentral:rRNA from 1 species
GACGAACCGUGCGAACGUUGUUCGGAUUCACUGGGCUUAAAGGGCGCGUAGGCGGGCGGUCAAGUCGGGGGUGAAAUCUUUCAGCUUAACUGGAAAAGUGCCUCCGAUACUGGCGAUCUUUGAGUCCGGGAGAGGUGAGUGGAACUCCGAGUGUAGAGGUGAAAUUCGUAGAUAUUCGGAAGAACACCAGUGGCGAAGGCGGCUCACUGGCCCGGUACUGACGCUCAGGUGCGAAAGCGUGGGGAGCAAACAGG